rnacentral:rRNA from 1 species
GAUGAACGCUGGCGGCGUGCCUAAUACAUGCAAGUCGAGCGAACGGACGAGAAGCUUGCUUUUCUGAUGUUAGCGGCGGACGGGUGAGUAACACGUGGAUAACCUACCUAUAAGACUGGGAUAACUUCGGGAAACCGGAGCUAAUACCGGAUAAUAUUUUGAACCGCAUGGUUCAAAAGUGAAAGACGUUCUUGCUGUCCCUUAUAGAUGGAUCCGCGCUGCAUUAGCUAGUUGGUAAGGUAACGGCUUACCAAGGCAACGAUGCAUAGCCGACCUGAGAGGAUGAUCGGCCACACUGGAACUGAGACACGGUCCAGACUCCUACGGGAGGCAGCAGUAGGGAAUAUUCCGCAAUGGGCGAAAGCCUGACGGAGCAACGCCGCGUGAGUGAUGAAGGUCUUCGGAUCGUAAAACUCUGUUAUUAGGGAAGAACAUAUGUGUAAGUAACUGUGCACAUCUUGACGGUACCUAAACAGAAAGCCACGGCUAACUACGUG